rnacentral:pre_miRNA from 1 species
AGGCAGUGUAUUGCUAGCGGCUGUUAAUGAUUUUAACAGUUGCUAGUUGCACUCCUCU